rnacentral:rRNA from 1 species
UCCAGACUCCUACGGGAGGCAGCAGUGGGGGAUAUUGCACAAUGGGGGGAACCCUGAUGCAGCGACGCCGCGUGGGCGAUGGAGUGCUUCGGCAUGUAAAGCCCUAUCAGCAGGGAAGAAAAUGACGGUACCUGACUAAGAAGCCCCGGCUAACUACGUGCCAGCAGCCGCGGUAAUACGUAGGGGGCAAGCGUUAUCCGGAUUUACUGGGUGUAAAGGGAGCGUAGACGGUUACGCAAGUCUGGAGUGAAAGGCGGGGGCCCAACCCCCGGACUGCUUUGGAAACUGUAUAACUGGAGUGCAGGAGAGGUAAGUGGAAUUCCUAGUGUAGCGGUGAAAUGCGUAGAUAUUAGGAGGAACACCAGUGGCGAAGGCGGCUUACUGGACUGUAACUGACGUUGAGGCUCGAAAGCGUGGGGAGCAAACAGGAUUAGAUACCCCGGUAAUU